AAGAAUCCGUUGGGGUGCCCCGUCUGGGGCUGAGAGGCGCGAGCUAACCCAUCGAACCUGAUCCGGGCAAUACCGGCGUAGGGAACGGAGCACGAUCUGGC
rnacentral:ncRNA from 1 species